GGACGGGUGAGUAACGCGGAAGCAAUUUGGCCUUACAGGGGCAUAACACAGGGACACUAGUACUAAUACCGCAUAUUAAUAUCUAAUCGCAUGAUUGAGUGAUGAAAGUGGAAACACGGUAAAGGGGGAGCUCUCGUUCUAUUAGAUAGUUGGUGGGGUAACGGCCUACCAAGUCAACGAUAGAUAGCCGUCCUGAGAGGGUGAUCGGCCACACUGGAACUGAGACACGGUCCAGACUUCUACGGAAGGCAGCAGUAGGGAAUAUUGGGCAAUGGGCGAAAGCCUGACCCAGCAACGCCGCGUGAGGGAAGAAGGUUCUCGGAUUGUAAACCUCUAUCCUCGGUGAAGAUAAUGACGGUCCGUGAGGAGGAAGCCACGGCUAACUACGUGCCAGCAGCCGCGGUAAUACGUAGGUGGCGAGCGUUGUCCGGAUUUACUGGGUGUAAAGGGAGCGCAGGCGGGCUGGCAAGUUGGAAGUGAAAACCAUGGGCUCAACCCAUGAAUUGCUUUCAAAACUGCUGGUCUUGAGUAGUGCAGAGGUAGGCGGAAUUCCCGGUGUAGCGGUGGAAUGCGUAGAUAUCGGGAGGAACACCAGUGGCGAAGGCGGCGUACUGGGCACCAACUGACGAUGAGGCUCGAAAGCAUGGGUAGCAAACAGGAUUAGAUACCAUGGUAGUCCAUGCCGUAAACGAUGAUUAGUAGGUGUUGGAGGAUUGACCCUUUCAGUGCCGCAGUUAACACAAU
rnacentral:rRNA from 1 species